rnacentral:rRNA from 1 species
UGUUGGGUUAAGUCCCGCAACGAGCGCAACCCUUAUUGUUAGUUGCCAUCAUUCAGUUGGGCACUCUAGCAAGACUGCCGGUGACAAACCGGAGGAAGGUGGGGAUGACGUCAAAUCAUCAUGCCCCUUAUGACCUGGGCUACACACGUGCUACAAUGGGAAGUACAACGAGUUGCGAAGUCGCGAGGCUAAGCUAAUCUCUUAAAGCUUCUCUCAGUUCGGAUUGCAGGCUGCAACUCGCCUGCAUGAAGCCGGAAUCGCUAGUAAUCGCGGA